GACGAAGGAUGCAAGCGUUAUCCGGAUUCAUUGGGUUUAAAGGGAGCGUAGGCGGCCUUAUAAGUCAGUGGUGAAAUCUCUCGGCUUAACUGAGAAAUUGCCAUUGAUACUGUAGGGCUUGAGUACAGAUGCCGUUGGCGGAAUAUGACAUGUAGUGGUGAAAUACAUAGAGAUGUCAUAGAACACCGAUUGCGAAGGCAGCUAACGAAACUGUAACUGACGCUGAGGCUCGAAAGUGCGGGGAUCAAACAGG
rnacentral:rRNA from 1 species